rnacentral:rRNA from 1 species
GAUGAACGCUGGCGGCGUGCCUAAUACAUGCAAGUCGAGCGAACGGACGAGAAGCUUGCUUCUCUGAUGUUAGCGGCGGACGGGUGAGUAACACGUGGAUAACCUACCUAUAAGACUGGGAUAACUUCAGGAAACCGGAGCUAAUACCGGAUAAUAUUUUGAACCGCAUGGUUCAAAAGUGAAAGACGGUCUUGCUGUCACUUAUAGAUGGAUCCGCGCUGCAUUAGCUAGUUGGUAAGGUAACGGCUUACCAAGGCAACGAUGCAUAGCCGACCUGAGAGGGUGAUCGGCCACACUGGAACUGAGACACGGUCCAGACUCCUACGGGAGGCAGCAGUAGGGAAUCUUCCGCAAUGGGCGAAAGCCUGACGGAGCAACGCCGCGUGAGUGAUGAAGGUCUUCGGAUCGUAAAACUCUGUUAUUAGGGAAGAACAUAUGUGUAAGUAACUGUGCACAUCUUGACGGUACCUAAUCAGAAAGCCACGGUUAACUACGUGCCAGCAGCCGCGGUAAUACGUAGGUGGCAAGCGUUAUCCGGAAUUAUUGGGCGUAAAGCGCGCGUAGGCGGUUUUUUAAGUCUGAUGUGAAAGCCCACGGCUCAACCGUGGAGGGUCAUUGGAAACUGGAAAACUUGAGUGCAGAAGAGGAAAGUGGAAUUCCAUGUGUAGCGGUGAAAUGCGCAGAGAUAUGGAGGAACACCAGUGGCGAAGGCGACUUUCUGGUCUGUAACUGACGCUGAUGUGCGAAAGCGUGGGGAUCAAACAGGAUUAGAUACCCUGGUAGUCCACGCCGUAAACGAUGAGUGCUAAGUGUUAGGGGGUUUCCGCCCCUUAGUGCUGCAGCUAACGCAUUAAGCACUCCGCCUGGGGAGUACGACCGCAAGGUUGAAACUCAAAGGAAUUGACGGGGACCCGCACAAGCGGUGGAGCAUGUGGUUUAAUUCGAAGCAACGCGAAGAACCUUACCAAAUCUUGACAUCCUUUGACAACUCUAGAGAUAGAGCCUUCCCCUUCGGGGGACAAAGUGACAGGUGGUGCAUGGUUGUCGUCAGCUCGUGUCGUGAGAUGUUGGGUUAAGUCCCGCAACGAGCGCAACCCUUAAGCUUAGUUGCCAUCAUUAAGUUGGGCACUCUAAGUUGACUGCCGGUGACAAACCGGAGGAAGGUGGGGAUGACGUCAAAUCAUCAUGCCCCUUAUGAUUUGGGCUACACACGUGCUACAAUGGACAAUACAAAGGGCAGCGAAACCGCGAGGUCAAGCAAAUCCCAUAAAGUUGUUCUCAGUUCGGAUUGUAGUCUGCAACUCGACUACAUGAAGCUGGAAUCGCUAGUAAUCGUAGAUCAGCAUGCUACGGUGAAUACGUUCCCGGGUCU